UUAAGUAGUGGUGCCGCUCUUA
rnacentral:miRNA from 3 species